GGCUGUGCAGGAUGUGCUUUGUUAAAAACGUGCUUGAAGGCAGUAUGCUUGGUAAAAGUCAUCACCAUUCUCUAAUCUCAACUACCCAGAGACACAAUACACUGCGGAAGGCCGCGGGGACCUCUGCCUAGGAAAACCAGUCUCUCAUCCCACCUGACAAGAAACACCCACAGGUUGUGGAGGGGUGGCCCCCUUCAAGGUGAAUUCUCAGACAGAUCAAUUUUAGGAAAGAGAACACAUGGAAGGCUCCAAGAAUGUCUUUAAAAACCACGUGUGCCCAUGUACUGGUUCGAAAGUCUCUGUAAGCUCUUUGGGUAUACAUACCUCGUGUCAAGACCAAUGUACUAAGCAAAUCACAAGAACUGUCUCAUUUCACAUUAUGCGCUAAAGGAGUAACUUUACCCAAGAGAGCUUUGUCCUUUGCCCACAGUUCCUAUGAGGCAAACUCUAAGCCUUUGGAAUACGCUGCUUGAUAAAACUGUCUUUGGUUAUCAGGGCAAUUUAAGCCAUGCCAAAUUGUCUAUCCUAAUAAUGUGAUUUACUGUGGGAGACCUUGGACCACGUGGUAUUAGUUUGAUAUCUGGAGGAGCUGGAGAUUGAAGUCAGCCUCAUAGGCAGUCAAUUGUGUGUGUGUGUGUUAACUGAUAUCCAAUAAAACUCUGGACACCAAGGCCUAGGUGAGUGGCAACAAUGGUUACAAUGGCUGGCAAUAAUAAUAUAAGGGUGUAUAUAUAAGAAUAUGAUAAUUUAAAAACGUAUGAAGCAAAACAGAAUGAGAGAGGAUUAGACAAUUCAACAAUAAUAAUUGAAGACUACAUUACCCUACUUGCAAUAAUAAAGAAAACAAAUAGAAACUCAGCAAGGAUACCGAAAACUUGAACAACAUUAUCAACCAACUAGACUUAACGAACAUUUAACACUGCACUCAACAGCAGUAAAAUAAACAUUUUUUUCAAGAGCACAUGUUAUAUUCUUCAGGAAAGAUAAUAUCCCAUGUGAUAGCCUGAGAUAGGGCCUCAUGGGAAGGGAAAGACCUGACCGUCCCCCAGCCCAACACCCGUAAAGGGUGACUCACAAGGGCCCCAGACCCAGACAGAGUCGGACUCGUCGCUGAUUUCCUCAGACUCUUCAUCCCUACAGCCAAAGGACCCGUCAUUAACGCCCCGCUUCCUCAGCGACUGCGUUCAAAUACAGCCCCAAUCAGGACGCUCCACGCACCAUCGGUACACAGACCCACAGGCCGCGAGUCCAUGCCCAGAACUCGACUCACCCGAGCCCGAACCUCUCCAGACACCACUGGCAGCGACAAAACGCCGCAUCCACGUCCGAAAACGCUUCCUAUUCAGACGCGCUCCUGCGCGGACUCCGGGAAGCUGAGCGGUAAAGACCGUGAAGCGAGGCGAGGACCACGGAGCCUGCCCGGGAUCGCGAGUUCAGACUGCGGGCGCCGCUCUAUGAGGUCACAGGGCUGCGCCCAUCGCAGCGUUUCUGACAGGAGCGGCCAUAAUGGCUGUGGGAAUCACUCUUAGUCACCUCAGUGCCUUUCUCUCUUCGUUGCAAGGGACACUCAAGAGUCGGGUGCCCAGCCAAGGCCAACACGGCGCAGUGGCAUUCUAUUCAGCCUGCUGUGGAAAAAAGAUGGCGGCGCCCUUUGUGCCCAUUAUAGCUGAGAGUGGAGCCUUAGCUGGAGCACCAUGGGCACGGCCAUCUUAGAGGAAGGCAGCAGCCGUACGGCAGAGAAGAUGCUCAUAUCCAGGACAAUUUGGAAAAAUAAACAAGGUUUGAAGAAGUCACGGUGCUGGCCAGGAAGCGGUCACAGAGUUGCCAAAACCAGUGGUCACUGAAAGUGUUAGAUUUGGGGAUAGGGCGGGGGUUCUGGGCUGGGUAAGGCUUUUGUGGGUUAGAUUAGACUCUGACUGAAUGGACGAAGCCGAGAACAGGAGUGAUGCUCCAUUAAAUGCUAAUACCCACAUGGGGCUUGCUAUUAAAACCACUGCCAGUGGGGAAGGGGAUGAGGAGGUGAAGGUGCAACUGUGUUAAUAUCUACAUGUUUCCUUCCAGAAGUAAAGGAAGAUGACAGUGGGGCACUUAAGAAUAUGAAAUUAUUAGAAUGCGAUCAUCCUACUUUGCAAUGUUUCCAGAUUUUUUAAAAAGUCACACUUAAAAAAUAUUAGUUCUAUUUUUGCAGAUGUUGGCGUUGUAACUGUAGAAGAUUUAAGUAAAUAUUGUAUUUUUGGAAGGCAACCUAGAGCCAAUUUAAUUUUUUCGUUUUCUUUGACACAGCAAUUCUAAAAGCUAUCUAGGCAAAUCUGUCUUAAUAUUAACCACAACUUUUGUAAUUUACAAAAAAAGGGAAUUACAAUGAGAGAUGAAUACUUUGGUAAAUUAUGGAACAUCUGCUGAACUGUAAGAGUAUAUAUCAAUUUAAAAGAAUAUGCUACAAUUGUUUUAUAAAAAAGAAAACUUUGUCAGAGGACAAAAAAAUGAUCUGCAGGAUAGUAUAUAUUUUAUGGUCUUGUUAUUGGAAGAAAUCAUAAACAUCUUUUGGAAAAUUGUGAUUGGUUAAACAAGACAUUUAGUUUGAAUUAAUAUUGUUUGUGUUCAUAGGUAGAGAAUGCCAUGUUUUUACUUGAAAAAUAUUCCCAAUUUAUACUUAAUUUUACUAUCUUUGUACCAUAAUCAUGAAUAUAUUAUAAAACAUGUUGAUCUUAGAAAAUAGGUAUGAUGAUGUAUAAUAAGUUCAUGGCAUGAUAAAUGCAAAAUAGGCUGUUUUCUUUCAGAAAAUAAAUAUGCUCAUGCAUUUGAAAAA